GAAACAUAUUUUUGUUUUCACUCUUGUCCGCAGAGAAAUACAUAAGUUUUUGCCCAAAAGAUCUUUAACAUAUUUCAGUAUAUGUUAUUAUAACAGAUCGGUUCUUCCGUUGGGAAGUGGGAGCCUCACGAGCUAUAGACGUGGGAAGAGGAUUAGAUGAAAUAAUUUUCUGAAACUUUUCAGUGGGAUCCUGUUCCUAUAGGACUCUAUGUAUACUUCGCUCAGGAAUGAAUUUUUAUACCUCUUUAUACCAAUAAGAGUGGUCAGAGCAAAAGUAUAUUUGGUCAUCAAAUUGAUUGUGUCUAUUGUAUCACUGAGGAGGAAACAUUUUGUUGAGUUGUGAGAAUGGGGAGCAAGAUAAGUCAGCCAAUGCCGGGGGAAACACCCAGACACUGGAUGUACAGAAAUAAUAAAGGCUUUAACACAGAACCGUUUUUGAUCUGGCAGAAUGGUCAGAGGGUAAAACUCAAAUAGAUCCGUAUAAGUACAGAAACAGUAAUGGCAGUAUUAUUUGAUGUGGAAAAGGCUUACGACAUGUUAUGGAAGGAUGGACUGCUAAUAAAAAUUAGAUCAGAUUGGAAUAGGAGGAAGAAUAUUUAAUUGGAUUAAAGAUUUCCUAAUUGAAAGAAACAUUAAAGUGAAGAUUGGAGAAUUUAUAUCCAAUAGGGGCUUGACAGAAAACGGGACAUCCCAAGGAAGUGUCAUAAGUCCAUAAAUAUUUAUUAUUAUGAUUAGUGAUGUUUUUGCUACAGCUGAUAUUAAUUUGGGUAAACUGCUGUUUGCAGAUUAUUGAGCCCUUUGGUUCAGAGGAAGAAAUGAAGAAUAUAUAGUUAAAAAAUGCAAUCCGCCUUAAAUAAUGUUGAAAAAUGGUGAUGGUUUAUGCAGUCAUUGUGAUGAAGUUGAACAUGUUAUUCUUCAUUGCACAGCCUACAACAAUGAAAAACAAGAAUUACACUCAAAACUGCAGACAAAGGGAAUCCAAGGCAUGUCAUUAAAAAGUCUUUUAACGAAAAAACAAGGGGAAUUAGAUAUGACAGAUGAUGUUUUGAGGUAUAUGAAAGCAACAGGGUUAUAUUCGAGAAUAUACUCCAGAUUCGGUAAUGCUCUAAGAAUGCUAACCGCUAAAAAAAACAAGAGAAGAAGAAGAAGUGUGACGCCCACUUUUUUAUCUGUCCUGUUUCCGGAAGUUUUUAUUUCCUCCUCUUUACAGAGACCGAGAGUUACUCUCUCUUUCACUCAGUGUGUUAAUAUUCUUUAUUUCUUUUAGUUUUGGUGUAUUCGUUAACUUAUAUUGUCAUUAACUAUGUUUUGUAUUCUUCUUACUUGAGUUCAUACACAGAACAAACUGUUUUCAGAUCAUUAUCUCGUUCAUUUUGGCGAAUUCAGGCUCGUUUUUUCUGGGCCCAUGUAAAUGUAUAAAUACAUGUAUUUUUCAGUGGUGAAAAUGAAAAAACUCUGUAUUUUGUUCGCUGUAAUUUUGCUCGUUGAUGGUGUGUCUGCAGGUUAUGACCAAAUGUUGGUGUCAGUGAACGUGGGAGAUUCCCUCACUCUACACACUGGUUAUAUAAGAAAACAAGACGACAAGAUGACAUGGUAUUUUAAUAACACUCGUAUAGCUCAAAUCAAUGGAAAUCUCAGUAAGAUCUGUACUGAUGUACAAUGUGAUGAGACAUUCAGAGACAGACUGCAGCUGAACACUCAGACUGGAGAUCUUACCAUCACAAACAUCACAACUGAGCACACUGGAAAUUAUCAACUACAGAUUAUCAAUUUAGGCUUCAGUGAGAAAAUCUUCAAUUUAUCUGUCCAAGUUGGUGUGCCUUGGGCCGAUAGAAUGAAGAAAGUGAAUGAGGGAGAGUCUGUCUCUUUAGAUUCUGGUGUAACUAAAAAACAAAAUGACUCGAUCACAUGGUAUUUUAAUGGUAUUCGCAUAGCUCAAAUCAAUGGGAAUACCAGUGAGGCCUGUACAGACGUGCAGUGUGAUAUUGAAAAUGAGAGAUUGCGAGACCGAUUGAAGCUGAAUGAUCAGACUGGAUCUCUUACCAUCACAAACGCCAGAAUCACAGACACUGGAGAAUAUCAACUAGAGAUCAGCAGCAGCAGCAGAUUCAGCAGCAGCAGCCGUCACCGCAGCAUCAGCUUCAGCAGCAGAAAGACCUACAGCGUUACAGUCAUUGAUCCAGGUCCGUCUUUAGGUGUAAUAGCAGGUAUAAUUGUUGGUGUUCUGCUGCUCGUGGCUGCAGUGACUGCUGGUGUUUUUUAUCACCGCAGACAAGCAGGACAACAGGGUCAAGCGCAGCCGCGUGAUGAUCAGCCCGUCACCGAGCACCCCCCAAAAAGGCCAAAAACCUGCCCCAUUUCUUAUCAUAUGCAGCCGAAUUGCCAAGCCGUCUAUAUGACAUCUCUUCAAAUGAGGCUUCCUUGCCCAAUUCGGUGCACCAUUCAUAAAAAGAGGUAGCGCCCGUCGACUUCCAUCCCCUCACAAUUAUCUGUCUCCCGAUCAUCACGCCGGUGAGGACCCACCUCUUUACAUACCCAUCAGCUAUAUUCAUAACCACCCCAUCACCCAACACACAAAGUCUGGGACAAAACAGAACCUGAGUGCCCAGGACCUCGGAAACAAAAUUCUGGACUCUCAACCAAAACUCCUGAACAAGACCAGAAGGCAUGUAAUAAAUCUCCAUCCUCCAACUGGCAAUGCCAACAGCGAGAUCCUCCAAGUCAGCAAGAAUCUUCGACAACAUCAACAUGUUGGACAACUGACGCUGGAUCACCUCUCCCGACGCGCCAAGUCCCUGGACUGUAGGCCUAUCGGGGCUUUCAUCCUGAACAC